UACAGAGGUCCCAAGCGUUGUUCGGAUUCACUGGGCGUAAAGGGUGCGUAGGUGGUGAGGUAAGUCGGAUGUGAAAUCUCCGAGCUCAACUCGGAAAUGGCAUUGGAAACUACCUUGCUCGAGGGUUGGAGGGGGGACUGGAAUACUUGGUGUAGCAGUGAAAUGCGUAGAUAUCAAGUGGAACACCAGUGGCGAAGGCGAGGCCCGGGACAGUUCCUGACACUGAGGCACGAAGGCCAGGGGAGCAAACGGU
rnacentral:rRNA from 1 species